UAAAAGUUUUAUUUUAGCUUAAAAAUUUGUUGUUAAUUUAUUUUAUAUGUAAAUUUUUGUGAGAAUAAAUAAUUAUUUUAAAAAUAAUUAUUUAUUUAUUUAAUUGCAAUAAUUAAUAUUAUUUUUUAAAGAAAUUUAGAAAUAGUUAUAUUAAAUAAUAUUGGUUAAAUUUGUGCCAGCAACCGCGGUUAUACAAAUAAUAUAAAUAAAUUUUUUUAAUUUAAGUUAAAUUGUUUAUUUAAAAAUUUAAUUAAUUUUUUAGGUGAAAUUUUAAAUUAAUAAAUUUUUUAUGUGGUUUUAUUGAGACUUUUAAAUUUUUUUUAAAAACUAGGAUUAGAUACCCUAUUAUUGAAAAAGAUAAAAAUUAAUUAAAGUAGUAUUAGUUAUGUUCUUGAAAUUUAAAAAAUUUGGCGGUAUUUUAGUCUAUUCAGAGGAAUCUGUUCUGUAAUUGAUAGUCCACAUUGUACCUUACUUAAAUUUGUUUUCAAUUUAUAUACCGUCGUUAUAAGAAUAUUUUAUAAGAAUAAUAAUUUUCAAUAAUUUAUAUUAAAAUUUAUAUCAGAUCAAGGUGUAGUUUAUGUUUAAGUAGAAAUGGAUUACAAUAAAUAUAUUUUUGGAUAAGAUUUUUAAAUAAAUUUUUGAAAUUGGAUUUGAAUGUAAAAUUAUAAAGAUUAAUAAUUUGAUUUUAGCUCUAAAAUAUGUACAUAUCGCCCGUCACUCUUAUUAUUAAGAUAAGAUAAGUCGUAACAUAGUAGAUGUACCGGAAGGUGUAUCUAGAAUGAC
rnacentral:ncRNA from 1 species